AGGCACUGAAGAAUAUUGGUACAAUGUACAGUUGACUCAUACACGUACAUGGGAGAUUCAGUCUUGUCAUCUGCAGACAUUCCGUUCAGACCCUGGAAAAUAAAGCCAAUAACUAUCAGUGUGUGCAUGUCUGUGAUAGAGAGGCAGGACCUCCUUUUCCCACUGAUUCUGGAUGAAGCAGGAUAGCCAAGUGCAUUGGAGGUUGAGGUGGGGGAACACCAGUGACUCUCCAUAGGUUAAACAUCUGUGUUUACAAGCUGGAGCACAAGAUACACUAGAUGUGUGCAUGUGUUGUGCUGAUUACAAGGCUUAUAGCUAUGUGCAAUGAUCUCCGAAACGAAGUGUUGGGCACACAGCAGCUCCAGCAGGAAAUACAGAAGAUAUCUAAGGAAACAGAUUUCCAUGAGGAAUAAGAAGGUAACAGAACAAUACAGAACUCUAAGAAAAGAUGCUCUAGAAUUACUUUAACAGCAGAACUUCAAGAAACCAGCUUUUGAAUAAAAUCGGAAGUUCUUUCAAGAAAAGAGAAAAAGCUGAUAACGCUGUUCAUGAGAGUAUGAAACCGAAAAACAUUUGAUCGUACUGGCACCGUCUGUUCAGUUGACUUAGAAGGCGCAAAAGGUAUGUACUAAAAUCAACUUAUGCUGGAUAACCCCUUUAAUGGAGAAAAACAGAAGAAAAAAAAACAAAAAACUGUGUCAAUCGGUGGCAUGUGGGUGGAGGAAGCUUCCAGUUUGAUGGAAAUUCACAGGUGCUCAGAUGCCCAAGAAAACGUCAUGAAAAGCUAAAGAACUGUUCCUUCAAGUUUAAAUCACAUGAAUAAAAACUUGACUUCUCUUAUGGAAACUGAAGAUAAUUUACAUGAAUCUAUUUUGGACUUUCUUUCAUAUAUUUAUACUUUUUAAAUUAUUUCCAUUUAUUCUACUUCCUUUUAACAAGCUGUUGACUAAAUCAGAAUGGCAAAAACUACUGAAAAUGUGUUCAUGCAGAAAGAGAAGAGACACUAA